GAUUCCAACGGAAAUCAUAUCUAUUUUCUUUGGAAGUUGAGGUUCAGCGAUAAAGUGCGUAAACCAAAUCCUCAUCUACUUCCUUCUCGUGUUCCUUGGAAUCGUUAUAAUCAAAGUAGCAAAAUCCAACACCAUGUUUUCUCCGUCCACACCAUUUCCUUCUAGAAUUCUCCCUUCUCCUUCAGUUACGACGCUUCAUGAGCAAACAGCUCCUCCUGCAGUUUCUUCUUUACCUUCUACUUUCACUGCUCAGUGUUUUCCUACCUCAGUUCUUCUGCAAGAGCAUCGCGAUGAAUAUAAACCUCUACUUCAUAUGCAUAAAGAAGACAAGACAGCCUUAAAUACAAGGGUAAUGGAUGUGAUGUCAGUUCAUGAGAAAAACAAUAAUGUCGAUGUUAAUGAGUCGUUGGAACGGCAGUUGCAUCUUCGCUGUCAUUUACAGAACUUAUUGGCUUCUUCGCCGCAAGAGGAUGAUUUCCAAUGGAGUGCACUUUCUCUUGCCAAGCAAGCUCUAUCAGCCUCGAAACAGGCCGCUGCAGUAGCUGAAGAGUUGAAAUUGGUUAAAAUUGACGAUGAUAGUUUGGCUGACUCUUUAACUGGAAAGAAUAAAAUCGUGAGGUCAACGCGGCUUAAAGAAAGGCAUUCUAAACUGAGAAAAGUGUCAAACUCGAAGGUUCUUGACGAAGAAAGGUACUUUAUAAAAAAGUCUGAUGUACAGAAAAGGUUACGUAUGGAGAAAAAGUUAAAAGAAAGGCUUGAUGGAAAUGAUGCUCUGCGCUUUUUCUUACGGAGUCCUGAAAUAAAGCAACUUUUGAACCUUGAUGAAGAGUCUCAGUUGAUUGCUCAGAUACAGGAUUUAUUUAAAUUGAAAGAAACAAAGGUCAAGCUUCAGUCUCGGUUUGGAAGAGAACCAACUUUAUCCGAAUGGGCAGAUGGUGUAGGCCUAAGCUGCCGCGUCCUUCAGGCACGGCUUCAUUCUGCUAACAAAAGCAAAGAUAAGCUGAUUCAGGCCAACUUACGCCUGGUUGUGCACAUUGCUAAAAGUUAUCAGGGGCGUGGUCUCCACCUUCAGGACUUAUUGCAGGAGGGAAGUAUGGGCCUUAUGAGGAGUAUCGAAAAGUACAAACCCCAAGCUGGUUGUCGGUUCAGUACUUAUGCUUACUGGUGGAUAAAGCAAACAAUGAGGAGGGCCAUAUAUCUGCAUUCCAAAACAAUUCGUAUUCCGGAGACUUUCUACAUCCUUUUGGCUAAAGUUGCGGACGCAAAGAAAUCUUACAUAAGAGAAGGAAAUCAUAACCCUACCAGAGAAGAAAUAGCAAGAAGAGUAGAAAUUACAGUAGAAAAGUUGGAACUGUUGCUAUUUUCUACAAGAACUCCGCUUUCGAUGGAGCGAGCUGUUUGGGCAGGCCAGAACACAACUUUCCAGAAAGGAGCCUUGAGCCAUCAGCAAUGGCCAAAAGAUUUCUUUUCAAUGGUGUGAAGGAGAUGCUAGAUCAUAUUGCUAAAAUUUAGUAAGUAUUAGAUGUAUAUCUAGCUAGUGAGUUGUGGUAAGCUAAGCAUUGUGUAACUGUCUGCACUGACACCUGUCAGUUUCUGUAGCUCCAUCACCUGCUACAGCAGGUAACUGGUUGCAACUAUAAAUGCAACUAGUUCUACUUUUCUUUAACUAACUUUCCAAAAUGAAAAGUUGUUAGAUCAAAAUGAAAAAUAUCUCUCCAUGUUUUCUAUCAGUAAGGGUUAAGCCUGGGAAGCAUAACAUAAUACCCACAACAUACGAGUAUCAAACAAACUGAAUAAACUAGUUCAACAUAACCACGUGGUUUGAUUUCAUUUCUCAUUCUUUUGGUUUAGUGUUUUGAGAGUAAACUGAACCGAGUCAUAUGUUUAAAUAUGUUUCUUACAAAAUUGUAUAUAUACAUUAUAUAGGUAUUAAGACUUGUGAGAUGUGACGUUGGUCUUGCUUGAGGUUGAUCCUCUGGCUAAACUAGAUUAAAUCAUGAACAAAACCUACUAAAUACGCCCCUAGUAAUUGAUUGGACUCACUUCACUAUAGUAUGUUCCUUAUAGAAGUUGGACCAUUCAAGUCUUGACGUUUUAAUUUGCACCUCUUUCCGGAUGCUUGUGUUAGACCUCUCAUUAAGGAAUUAAGAAAAAUAGAAUGUGUAGUUUUCUACCAAUUAUUAUAUUAUUAGGAGCAAUUUAGUGUUCGGUGCUAUAUUAUUAAGAAAAGUUAUGUUUAGAAUAAACAGAAGUUAUUGGAGAGUUUAUUAUCUUGGAAUUUGACCCCAAAGGGGCCAUUUUGGUAUUAGAGUAAAUAAAGACCUGCGAAAUUCUACUAUAUCAUUUUGUAAUUACAAGGACCUUCCCUGUUUCCUUCUUCUAUAUUACUUGGUUUCUGUUAACUGGUAUCAGAGCAAUUCUGAUCCAUGAAGAUUCUAUGGGUGUGCUGGAAAUUUUGGCAUGAAGAUGACUGUAGAUUUGAUUGAAGGGACGUCUAUUGGUGGUUGAUCCAGGUAGAGUAAUAUUUUGGUUCAAGAAAGAUGAGUGAAGAGAUGAAACUUUGUUGGAUUAUUGCAUUUGCAUUGGGAGGAGAUGCUCUUGAUUGGUGGUUUUCUUGAAAGAAGAACAAUCCAAAUAUUUGUUGGAGAUUACUGCAGACUCUUCAAUUGAAUUGCCAGACGUAUGUGUUGCAAAACAACUAAUGAGGAGCCAUGUACGUAACCUCGUAGACACAUUGAACCCAAAAGAAAGAAAGGUAAUUAGAUUGAGAUUUGGUAUUGA